CGCUGGAGGUGCCCGAGGAGCCCAGCCUGCCCCCGGAGGUACCUGUGGGGCGCCGGGGGGCAUCUAUGGGGCGCUGGGGGGUUCUAUGGGGUGCUGUGGGGUUCUAUGGGAUGCUGUGGGGCGCUAUGAGGUAUCUAUGGGGCGCUGUGGGGUUCUGUGGGGCACUGUGGGGUGCUAUGGGGUAUCUAUGGGGCACUAUGGGGCAUCUGUGGGGCAUCUAUGGGGCACUGUGGGGUACCUGUAGGGCAGUGUGGGGUUCUAUGGGGUGUCUAUGGGGCGCUGUGGGGUAUCUAUGGGGCACUGUGGGGUUCUAUGGGGCGUCUAUGGGGCACUAUGGGGCAUCUAUGGGGCGCUAUGGGAUAUCUGUGGGGCGCUGUGGGGUAUCUAUGGGGCACUGUGGGGUUCUGUGGGGUACUAUGGGGCGCUGUGGGGCAUCUAUGGGGCAAUGUGGGGUUCUAUGGGGCAUAGUGUGGCUCUAUGGGGCACUAUGGGGUAUCUGUGGGGCACUGUGGGGCAUCUAUGGGGCACUAUGGGGUAUCUAUGGGGCGCUGUGGGGGUCUGUGGGGCGCAGUGGGGCUCUAUGGGGCACUAUGGGUUAUCUGUGGGGCGCAGUGGGGCUCUGUGGGUUAUCUGUGGGUCUCUAUGGGGCAUCUAUGGGGCACUGUGGGGUUCUAUGGGGCGCUUUGGGGUAACUAUGGGGCGCUGUGGGGUUCUAUGGGGCGCUGUGGGGCAUCUGUGGGGCACUAUGGGGUAUCUAUGGGGCGCUGUGGGGCUCUAUGGGAUAUCUAUGGGGCACUAUGGGGUAUCUAUGGGGCGCUAUGGGGUAUCUAUGGGGCACUGUGGGGUUCUGUGGGGCACUAUGGGGCUCUAUGGGGUGUCUAUGGGGCGCUAUGGGGUCUCUAUGGGGCACUAUGGGUCACUGUGGGGCACUAUGGGGUAUCUAUGGGGCGCUAUGGGGCAUCUAUGGGGCGCUAUGGGGUAUCUAUGGGGCGCUAUGGGGUUAUCUAUGGGGCCGCCCCACAGCUCCCCCCUCCGCGGCGGCGCCGCGCCCCACGGCCGCCCCACUGGGACCCCCAAGUGCAGAUCCCGCAGCAGGAAUUCCGCCAGCAGCUGCUCGACCCCGGCGCCCGCUGCCGGCCCCUGGUGAUCCCGGAGCCGCCCCACAAGCGUCGCCGGAGCCCGGAGGAGCUCUUCCAGACCCCGAGCGCGGGCUGGCUGACCCCCGAGCUGUGGGAUCUGUGGGUCCGGGGCGCCCGCCCCACGGCGCCGGAGCUGCCCAGCGAGUUGGAGGAGCCCAGGGAGCUGCUGGAGCCGAGCGUGGGGCUGCCGCCGUCCUCGGGUACGCUGUGGGGCGCUAUGGGGCGGCUGGGGGGGCGCUGGGGG
rnacentral:lncRNA from 1 species